rnacentral:rRNA from 1 species
UACGGGGGGAGCAAGCGUUGUUCGGAUUUACUGGGCGUAAAGGGCGCGUAGGCGGUCAGCACAAGUCAGUUGUGAAAUCUCCGGGCUUAACUCGGAAAGGUCAACUGAUACUGUGCGACUAGAGUGCAGAAGGGGCAACUGGAAUUCUCGGUGUAGCGGAUGAAAUGCGUAGAUAUCGAGAGGAACACCUGCGGCGAAGGCGGGUGCUGGGCUGACACUGACGCUGAACUGCGAAAGCUAGGGGAGCGAACGGG